UGUUAAAACUUAUGAGGAAAAUUUGCCGACAAAUAACAUUUGCCGACAAAUGUAUAAAAAACUUUACACCUUGAACGACUUUUUGUUGCUAAUAUUACGGCCACUUGUAUCAACGAUGGAGAUUUCACGAACAAUUCAUAUUUAUUCAGAUUUCAAAUAAACAAAAACGUCGAGAUAAAAAAUCAACGGCAAAAACAAUUUUUUAGAGCGAAGUUCAAAAUGAAUGUGUUAUGGGCAAUACUUUGGUUUCUUAUUCUGUUAUUUAUCGCCUGGCCAAUCGCUGGUUUUUGUGCGAGUUGGUAUGUUUGUUGUCUUCCAUUUGAAGUAUGCAUCGAGCAACUUAAACCUCUAAAUGAAAUUUUAUUCAAAGGCGUCAAAAUUCCUUAUGAAGUAGCCCUUCGUUUAAAAGAUGGUAAAGAAGGCUGGUAAUAAAGAAGCCUGACAAUAAAAAAGCUGGUAAUAGGAACUAUUCAAAUUUCUUAUAAUCUUACACAACAUUUUUUUGUACGCAUUCAAUUUUUUUUCUGUGUGGUAUAUUUAUGUUUUGUUAAGUAUUUUGUUAAACUUUUUACAAAUAUUUAUCUACAGUAAACACAAUCUUUUAUUAAAAGAAUAUAUAUGA